GAAAUGCAGGAAACCAGAUAUUUAUGCAUCCAACACUACAACAUAAUUAAGUUAUAAGGAUAUAUAUUUGGGACAUUUUUGUGUGUCCUAUUUAUGUCAAAACUUUUUAAAAAAAUCUAUUAAGGCCUAAAUAUAAACCUCAAUCAAACCAAAAGUAAGAGGUUACUCUACUCAACCCACCCUACCCAGCCCAUUUAGCCCAAUUGCAAACAGAAAAGAAAAAAAAAAAAUCGAUCACCAUCUCCCCCUUCUCCUCUUACUCAAUUCACUGAAACCUUAGACGAAGAGCUCUUCGCUUUCCUUCUCUUUCGCCAUCGCAGCCAACGAGUUAGAGUUCCGACGGCUGCUAAAUGCUUAAAUAAGUGUUGGUAAAUUAACAACAUUCUUUUUAGAUUAUACCGACACUCUUAAACUGUCACUAUAUACCUAGCGACCCCACAUAUAACAACACUUUUUAAAAGUAUCAGUAAUUUAGCCAGCAGUACUUUUUUGACCUGUACCGAUAUUUAAAAGUGUCGCUAUAUAUCGUUUUUGUUGUAGUGCAAAGAAGAUCUUAAGUCC
rnacentral:lncRNA from 1 species